UAAACCUGCCCAACAGGUUCCGAAGAUGUAAAAAGCCCAGCAACAGGAAGCCAGUUGACCCCAUUUUUAAAACCCUAUUCAAAAUAGCCCUCACCCUUGCCUCCCUCUUGCCACUCAAGGUGAAAGGUAGCUGCAGAUCCUAUACAGUACAUAACUGGCCUCAGAUCUCCAGGAAGACCAGAUGAGCUCCCAUAUCAGAAGGCUGACUUUUCUACAGCAUUCAGUAGAAGUUAAAGGACCAAUGAACCACCCUCCUCUCUCCACCAGGUUCGUAACAAACUGAGACACACACACAGGACUCGAAGGAAGGAUCAGAAGGAAAGUCGAAUUGCUGUGGAGCUGGAUUGAGAACAAUAUUUGGACCCUGAAGGGGCUUACCAAUACACGGCCUCAUGGUGUGCACUGACUUUCCAGAUCUGUCUGUCACAGGCCCCUGCCCUGACCAGCAGAAACUUCCCAGGAACUUCGACAGAUGGAGAAGAGAACUUCCACCCCUUGGCAAGGUACAUGCAAGGGGAGAGAGUAAAAGAGGCCGUCACACGCAGUAAGUGGCCUCUGCCCGUAUAAAUUCCUUUGCAGGAGGAUCGUGGGUGAAUAACUGUCAGAUUCUUGCUACUUCACCAAUGAGAUAAGUCCCUCUUUCUCCCCAGGGUGGAGUAAGUAAUACAGAAGAAGGUCAAAGGUUAGUACCUUGCUACUCAAAGUAUACCCUUGGGCUGACAUGAUCACCCGAAAGCUUCUUGGAAAUACAGAAUCUCAGGCCCAUCCCUACCAAAUACCAAUGUGUGUUUCAACGAAUUCCCUGGGGUGAUUCGUGUACACAUGACCGUUUGAGAACCAGUGCUUAACUGAAGUACUUUAACAGGAAUCCCAGAACAGGGCAAAAAAAUUUCUCAGAAGCUGAAGUGAGGCGGCCGGGGGGCCAAAGCCAUCUUCAACAUUUCAUAGUGAAGCUUGGAAUUUUAAACUAGAGCCACAGUUUCAGUUGUUUCAAACUAAAUGAAUUGAAUACAUUCCUGGUCUGCUGUUAGCCUGUGUUUAGCCAAAGAGUUGGAAGCGAUCAACAGAAAAUAAUGAUUGCAUUUGUUCACUUAACAGGCCUCAGUUUCAAGCAUCUCAAAAACUGAGAAUCACCAUCAAAUGGGAGGCUCUAAAGGACAAAUACUGCUUGGUGGCCAAUCACAUGGACAGCUCCCCUGCCCAGCUUCUGGCUUCAAGGGAUCCAUACCACGUGAUCUUUAUUUUACAGGCAGCUUAGAACUGGAAACAAUCUGACAAUUCUCUCGAUGACAAGUCUAGUGCUUAGUGGCAGAUUUUGUCAUAUAUACGUGAACCCCAAUUGUUUACUCAAUUCUUCAAGAAUCCAAAUAUUGCAUUUAAUUUUCUAUCCCACAGCAUGGUCAGAAAUGCAAUCGGUUUUGCAACUUUCACAUCUACCAUACCAAAAAGUACUUUGAACAACGUUUAUGGGUCUCUCCCACAAACGCCAAUGGAAAAUUAUUGCCAGCAAGAGGCUUACCUCCUGGCUACCAUCUGCCCUGUUUGAAACAUUUCAAUCUCGGAUUGCAGGGGUUUUUUACAACUCGCUUCAGGGCUUUGGGGAAGACACUCUGCUUUGCCAACAGCAGGCUCCACUCUCUUUCCUGAAGUCUGUACCGCUUGUGAGCUGUUGGUAUUUCUUCAGGACCAUCGGCACAGGCACAGAGUGAUCGGAGGAUUGAGUCUUCAUGCCUGGUUAAAGAGAGAGAUUGGAAAGAGUGUUUAGCUGAUCAGAAAGGAAAUCUCUAACCCUUGCUACCCAGAACUGAACCGGUAUAAACUGGCACAUUCAAAAGAAGCUACUGGGUUUACUUAACAUUCCACUUGGUUCCCUGUUAAGAGUUCAAAGCAUGCUAUUGCUUAGUCCAGAGAAAACUAGUAAAUAGCGGGGUGUCGAAUAUUAUAUGAUAUAUAGCUUUUUUUGUAAUAGUAUUUACACAGAACCUGUCAGCAUAUUAACACAAGGCAUUUUCACAGUAAGCUAUUUUAGAAGCG
rnacentral:lncRNA from 1 species